AGGAGCAGGGAGCUGGGAGCUAUGAGUGCUGACUGCGUGAACUCGGCCUCCACUUCCCGGACCUGCCACUUAUCAUGAUCCACGAGCUGUACUCAUGACUCCGCACAAGCAAGCAGGGGCUGACGGUCGGAUCCCUCGCCCCCAUUUUACGGACAGAAGUACCGAGGCUCAAAGAGAGCCAGUGAGAUGCUGAAAUCACGCGUGAUUGGAAUCCAGCCUUGCUAGGGCUGCGGGUGUUACGGGCCGUGGGCGGCGGUUAAGAGCGCUAGUCAAGUGAAGCAAUGGGAAUGGAGAAGAAACAAAUCUAUAACUGGUUGUGAUGAAUUAGUCGUAAGCACCACUGCAAUUGGACCAGUCAAUACCAUGGUUAUCACAGGAGUGUGGCUGAGGCUGUGUUUGGCCCUGGGUGCCAGGUCUGCACCCUGCACUAAGGAUGGGUGAGGAACGACAGGCAGUCGAGCUGGUUGGUGCUACAGGCAAUGUACAGUAAGCCAUGAUGGGCAGAGGCAGGAAAUACUUAGAGAACUGGAAAGAAUAAAGGAGCCGGUGUUCUCUUCGCAGGGCCCGGUGAGU